rnacentral:rRNA from 1 species
AGGACGAACGCUGGCGGCGUGCUUAACACAUGCAAGUCGAGCGGUAAGGCCUUUCGGGGUACACGAGCGGCGAACGGGUGAGUAACACGUGGGUGAUCUGCCCUGCACUCUGGGAUAAGCCUGGGAAACUGGGUCUAAUACCGGAUAUGACCUGCUCUCGCAGUGGGGGUGGUGGAAAGAUUUAUCGGUGCAGGAUGGGCCCGCGGCCUAUCAGCUUGGUUGGUGGGUAAUGGCCUACCAAGGCGACG